UACAGGGGGGGCAGGCGUUGUUCGGAAUUACUGGGCGUAAAGGGUUUGUAGGUGGCCCGCUAAGUCACACGUGAAAUCCCUCAGCUUAACUGGGGAACUGCGUGUGAGACUGGCAGGCUCGAGGGCAGGAGAGGAACGCGGAAUUCCAGGUGUAGCGGUGAAAUGCGUAGAUAUCUGGAGGAACACCGGUGGCGAAGGCGGCGUUCUGGACUGUCUCUGACACUGAAGAACGAAAGCCAGGGGAGCAAACGGG
rnacentral:rRNA from 1 species